CAGCCCCAAAGAACUGAGGGGCCAUUUUGACCCUUCAGGGCCUCAUGGAACCAAGUGAACAUGGAACAGAUCACUGUGAACCAACAAAAAGCACUGUGAACUGUGGACAGUGGAAACAUCCUAUCCUUGGUCAGGGCUCUCAGGGUGGCAGGAGAUGGGACCCUGGAGCUCGUGGAAUGGAACCAACACAACUGAUACAGAUCAUUACAGGGCCAUGAACUUUCACCGAGGAGGAAGAGAGGAGCCUUCCUCAAACGACCACCAGAGAGUAGAAGAAGACCCCCUAGCAACAGAGGGCGCAAGCGCAGAGUACACCCAGAAAUACCACGGACACGGAAGAAGAAAGAGUAUAAAAGACUGUGGGAAGGGGGGAAACAGUGUGAGCCGUUGGUGGAGCGCUGACUCCCUGGCUGCACCCAGCGCUGUUUGCUUGCCA